AGAUAUGAUUCUAAAGUCUUUGGCCAAAGCAUAUGAAUAUGACUUAGGAAGUUUGUUCCAAAUCAUAUUCAAAAGAAUCAUAUAAGAGAGUAUCACAUUGGAUAGUAGACAUGAAACAAACUAUCACUUAAACAAUGUGAUUAAGAGUAUUGUAUUAGAGCAGGACCGUAUUGCAUUGUAGUUGUAAAUGGAUAGGUUCUCCAACCAAUUCUACUUAGCUUGGGUAACCAUGAUAUGCUGCUAGGUGUC
rnacentral:lncRNA from 1 species